AACCUGGUUGAUCCUGCCAGUAGUCAUAUGCUUGUCUCAAAGAUUAACCCAUGCAUGUGUAAGUAUAGUUAUAUACAGCGAAACUGCGAAUGGCUCCUUAAAACAGUUAUAAUUUAUUUGAUGGAUAAAGAUAUGGAUAACCGUAGUAAUUCUAGAGCUAAUACAUGCUUGAAAGCCUGACUUACGAAGGGCUGCAUUUAUUAGAUAAAGCCAGCAUUUAGGUGAUUCAUAAUAAAUUAGCGGAUCGCGAUCUUGGUCGCGACAUGUCAUUCAAGUAUCUGACCUAUCAGCUUUGAUGGUAGUGUAUUGGACUACCAUGGCAUUAACGGGUAACGGGGAAUUAGGGUUCGAUUCCGGAGAAAGAGCCUGAGAAACGGCUAUUACAUCUAAGGAGGGCAGCAGGGGCGUAAAUUACCCAAUCUUAACUUAAGGAGGUAGUGACAAGAAAUAUCGAACUAGCGAUAAGCUAGGAUUGAAAUGGACCAAAUCUAAAACCCUUGGCGAGUAACAAUUGGAGGGCAAGUCUGGUGCCAGCAGCCGCGGUAAUUCCAGCUCCAAUAGCAUAUAUUAAAGUUGUUGCAGUUAAAAAGCUCGUAGUUGGAUAUCUGGAGUAGUUGAGGGGGCUUUUAAACCUCUUAAACGACAUCCAUCCUUCUGUUAACGCGUGUUGGUAUUCGUACUGGACGUGGGCUCAGAUAUUUUACCUU
rnacentral:rRNA from 1 species